rnacentral:rRNA from 1 species
GACGAUGGGUAGCCGGCCUGAGAGGGUGAACGGCCACAUUGGGACUGAGACACGGCCCAGACUCCUACGGGAGGCAGCAGUGGGGAAUAUUGCACAAUGGGCGCAAGCCUGAUGCAGCGACGCCGCGUGAGGGAUGACGGCCUUCGGGUUGUAAACCUCUGUUAGCAGGGAAGAAGAGAGAUUGACGGUACCUGCAGAGAAAGCGCCGGCUAACUACGUGCCAGCAGCCGCGGUAAUACGUAGGGCGCGAGCGUUGUCCGGAAUUAUUGGGCGUAAAGGGCUUGUAGGCGGUUGGUCGCGUCUGCUGUGAAAGGCCGGGGCUUAACUCCGGUUUUGCAGUGGGUACGGGCUAACUAGAGUGCAGUAGGGGAGACUGGAAUUCCUGGUGUAGCGGUGGAAUGCGCAGAUAUCAGGAGGAACACCGAUGGCGAAGGCAGGUCUCUGGGCUGUAACUGACGCUGAGAAGCGAAAGCAUGGGGAGCGAACAGGAUUAGAUACCCUGGUAGUCCAUGCCGUAAACGGUGGGCGCUAGGUGUGGGCUGUGUGUUUGCAGUCUGUGCCGUAGCUAACGCAUUAAGCGCCCCGCCUGGGGAGUACGGCCGCAAGGCUAAAACUCAAAGGAAUUGACGGGGGCCCGCACAAGCGGCGGAGCAUGCGGAUUAAUUCGAUGCAACGCGAAGAACCUUACCAAGGCUUGACAUGCAUUAGAUCGCGUCAGAGAUGGCGUUUCCCUUCGGGGCUGGUGUACAGGUGGUGCAUGGUUGUCGUCAGCUCGUGUUGGGUUAAGUCCCGCAACGAGCGCAACCCUUGUCCCGUGUUGCCAGCACGUUGUGGUGGGGACUCGCGGGAGACUGCCGGGGUCAACUCGGAGGAAGGUGGGGAUGACGUCAAAUCAUCAUGCCCCUUAUGUCUUGGGCUUCACGCAUGCUACAAUGGCCGGUACAGAGGGUUGCGAUACUGUGAGGUGGAGCUAAUCCCUAAAAGCCGGUCUCAGUUCGGAUUGGGGUCUGCAACUCGACCCCAUGAAGUCGGAGUCGCUAGUAAUCGCAGAUCAGCAACGCUGCGGUGAAUACGUUCCCGGGCCUUGUACACACCGCCCGUCAAGUCACGAAAGUUGGUAACACCCAAAGCCGGUGGCCUAACCCUUUUGGGAGGGAGCCGUCUAAGGUGGGAUUGGCGAUUGGGACUAAGUCGUAACAAGGUAGCCGUACCGGAAGGUGCGGCUG